GCCGGUGCAGCAAGGCGCGGAUCACGGCGCCCGGCCUUCAGCGUCGGGCGCGGCCGCGCCCAGGUCGCGGCGCCGGCCC
rnacentral:tRNA from 1 species